CCCCAGUAACGGCGAGUGAAGCGGCAACAGCUCAAAUUUGAAAUCUGGCGCCCGCGCCCGAGUUGUAAUUUGCAGAAGGUGCCUCGGGGGAGCCGCCGGUCUAAGUUCCUUGGAACAGGACGUCGCAGAGGGUGAGAAUCCCGUACGUGACCGGCCCGCGACCCCGUGUGAGGCCCUUUCGACGAGUCGAGUUGUUUGGGAAUGCAGCUCUAAAUGGGUGGUAAAUUCCAUCUAAAGCUAAAUAACGGCCAGAGACCGAUAGCGCACAAGUAGAGUGAUCGAAAGAUGAAAAGCACUUUGGAAAGAGAGUUAAAAAGCAUGUGAAAUUGUUGAAAGGGAAGCGCUUGCGACCAGACUCGUCCGCGGGUGAUCAGCCGUCCCUCGGGGCGGUGCACUCGCCCGCGGCCGGGCCAGCAUCGGUUUCUGCGGCCGGACAAAGGCCCGGGGAAUGUGGCUCCCCUCGGGGAGUGUUAUAGCCCCGGGUGCAAUGCGGCCCGCGGGGACCGAGGACCGCGCUUCGGCUAGGAUGCUGGCGUAAUGGUCGCCAGCGACCC
rnacentral:rRNA from 1 species